rnacentral:rRNA from 1 species
AUGAGGUCGUGCGUCAAGGCGGGGACGGUGAAGCGCGUGGUCCUCACAUCGUCGACGGCGGCGAUCUCCAGCCGGCCGCUGGAAGGCGACGGCCACGUCCUGGACGAGGACUCCUGGUCCGACGUCGACUACCUCAGGGCAACCAAGAGCGGUACCUGGGUGCGUACGGCGUACCCUGCGUCGAAGGUGCUCGCGGAGAAGGCAGCGAUGGCGUUCGCGGAGGAGAAAGGCCUCAGCCUGGUCACCGUGUGCCCCGUCGUCGUCGUCGGCGGGGCGCCCGCAACCAAUGUCAAGACCAGCGUCCCCGAAGUCCUCUCCUUGCUCUCCGGCGACGACGACAUGGUGGACAACCUGGAGCUCAUCGAGAAGGCGUCGGGGUCGAUCCCGCUGGUCCACAUCGACGACGUGUGCCGCGCCGAGAUAUUCGCCGCCGAGGAGGCCACGUCGGGGCGGUACAUCGUGUGCACCCUCAACACCACCGCCGUGGCGCUCGCCCACUUCCUGGCGGCCAAGUACCCGCAGUACGAGAUCAACGACGACCGCAUUGGUCAUCUUCCUGAGAAGCCGAGGGUGAGCAUCUGGUCGGACAAGCUCAUCAAGGAGGGGUUCGAGUACAAGUACAAGAACCUGGACGAGAUAUACGACGACCUCGUCGUCUACAGCAGGACCCUGGGGCUCCUGAAAUACUGA